GAUGAACGCUAGCGGCAGGCUUAAUACAUGCAAGUCGAGGGACAGCACAGGUAGCAAUACUGGGUGGUAACCGGCAAACGGGUGCGGAACACGUACACAACCUUCCUUUAAGUGGGGGAUAGCCCAGAGAAAUUUGGAUUAAUACCCCGUAAUAUAGUUGAAUGGCAUCAUUUGAUUAUUAUAGCUACGGCGCUUAAUGAUGGGUGUGCGGCUGAUUAGAUAGUUGGCGGGGUAACGGCCCACCAAGUCUACGAACAGUAGCUGAUGUGAGAGCAUGAUCAGCCACACGGGCACUGAGACACGGGCCCGACUCCUACGGGAGGCAGCGGUAAGGAAUAUUGGUCAAUGGACGCAAGUCUGAACCAGCCAUGCCGCGUGAAGGAUUAAGGUCCUCUGGAUUGUAAACUUCUUUUAUUUGGGACGAAAAAGGGCCUUUCUAGGUCAACUGACGGUACCAGAUGAAUAAGCACCGGCUAACUCCGUGCCAGCCGCCGCGGUAAUAC
rnacentral:rRNA from 1 species